rnacentral:misc_RNA from 1 species
AAGACUAUAGACCUGCGGAGUACCUGCGGAAGGAUCAUUACUGAGUGAGGGCCCUCUGGGUCCAACCUCCCACCCGUGUUUAUUCGUACCUUGUUGCUUCGGCAGGCCCGCCUCACGGCCGCCGGGGGGCUUCUGCCCCCGGGCCCGCGCCUGCCGGGGACAAUCUGAACGCUGUCUGAAGAAUGCAGUCUGAGCGAUUAGCUAAAUUAGUUAAAACUUUCAGCAAUGGAUCUCUAGAUC